rnacentral:rRNA from 1 species
UACGUAGGGUGCAAGCGUUAAUCGGAAUUACUGGGCGUAAAGCGUGCGCAGGCGGUUUUGUAAAUCUGACGUGAAAUCCCCGGGCUCAACAUGGGAAUUGCGUUGGAGACUGCAAGGCUAGAAUCUGGCAGAGGGGGGUAGAAUUCCACGUGUAGCAGUGAAAUGCGUAGAGAUGUGGAGGAACACCGAUGGCGAAGGCAGCCCCCUGGGUCAAGAUUGACGCUCAUGCACGAAAGCGUGGGGAGCAAACAGG